CCUAUGGGGUGCACCAGGCGAGAAAACUUUGCAAUGUGCGAAAGCACGACAAGCGUUAAUCCGAGUGGUUUCUGCUAAAGAAACCUUUUGNUAGUCCUAAAACCACUAAGUGANGAAGGGGUGGGCAAUACUGUGG
rnacentral:rRNA from 1 species